rnacentral:lncRNA from 1 species
UCUGCUGAUGUUUCUUGCCAGCCUCCCACGUUGUUUGAAGAAGUACUUACUGCAUCUGUAAGAGUUUGUCAGGAUCUUGCUGUUUGCAGUUCAUCCACUUAAACUCAUUAAAGCCUUUAGGGUGUUUAGCACACCAGCAUGGCACAUGUAUACAUAUGUAACUAACCUGCACAUUGUGCACAUGUACCCUAAAACUUAAAGUAUAAUAAUAAUAAAAAAAUAAAAAAUUAAAAAUUAAAAAAA